rnacentral:rRNA from 1 species
AUUGAACGCUGGCGGCAGGCCUAACACAUGCAAGUCGAACGAGUGGCGUACGGGUGAGUAAUGUCUGGGAAAUGCAUGAUGGCGGGGGAAAACUACUGGAAACGGUAACUAAUAACGCAUACUAUCGGUUACCCCAUAUGGGGUUAGCUAGUAGGUGAGGUAAUGGCUCACCUAGGCGACGAGCCCUAGCUGGUCUGAGAGGAUGAUCAGCCACACUGGGACUGAGACACGGCCCAGACUCCUACGGAGGUACCAGUGGGGAAUAUUGCACAAUGGGCGCAAGCCUGAUGCAGCCAUGCCGCGUGUAUGAAGAAGGCCCUAGGGUUGUAAAGUACGUUCAGUCGGGAGGCGUUACCGACAGAAGAAGCACCGGCUAACUCCGUGCCAGCAGCCGCGGUAAUAC